rnacentral:rRNA from 1 species
CAGCCGCCGCGGGAAUACGAAGGGUGCAAGCGUUAAUCGGAAUUACUGGGCGUAAAGCGUGCGUAGGCGGUUUGUUAAGUCUGUUGUGAAAUCCCCGGGCUCAACCUGGGAAUGGCAAUGGAUACUGGCAAGCUAGAGUGUGUCAGAGGAUGGUGGAAUUCCCGGUGUAGCGGUGAAAUGCGUAGAGAUCGGGAGGAACAUCAGUGGCGAAGGCGGCCAUCUGGGACAACACUGACGCUGAGGCACGAAAGCGUGGGGAGCAAACAGGAUUAGAUACCCCUGUAGUCCCUGUCUCUUAUAC